rnacentral:rRNA from 1 species
GCUACAGGCUUAACACAUGCAAGUCGAGGGGCAGCAUGGUCUUAGCUUGCUAAGGCCGAUGGCGACCGGCGCACGGGUGAGUAACGCGUAUCCAACCUGCCUUACACUCUUGGACAGCCUUCUGAAAGGGAGAUUAAUACAAGAUGUUAUCAUGAGUAAGCAUUUUCGCAUGAUUAAAGGUUUACCGGUGUAAGAUGGGGAUGCGUUCCAUUAGAUAGUAGGCGGGGUAACGGCCCACCUAGUCUUCGAUGGAUAGGGGUUCUGAGAGGAAGGUCCCCCACAUUGGAACUGAGACACGGUCCAAACUCCUACGGGAGGCAGCAGUGAGGAAUAUUGGUCAAUGGACGAGAGUCUGAACCAGCCAAGUAGCGUGAAGGAUGAAGGUUCUAUGGAUUGUAAACUUCUUUUAUACGGGAAUAAACGGAUCCACGUGUGGAUUUUUGCAUGUACCGUAUGAAUAAGGAUCGGCUAACUCCGUGCCAGCAGCCGCGGUAAUACGGAGGAUCCGAGCGUUAUCCGGAUUUAUUGGGUUUAAAGGGAGCGUAGAUGGGUUGUUAAGUCAGUUGUGAAAGUUUGCGGCUCAACCGUAAAAUUGCAAUUGAUACUGGCAGUCUUGAGUACAGUUGAGGUAGGCGGAAUUCGUGGUGUAGCGGUGAAAUGCUUAGGUAUCACGAAGAACUCCGAUUGCGAAGGCAGCUUACUAACCUGUAACUGACAUUGAUGCUCGAAAGUGUGGGUAUCAAACAGGAUUAGAUACCCUGGUAGUCCACACGGUAAACGAUGAAUACUCGCUGUAGGCGAUAUACAGUCUGCGGCCAAGCGAAAGCAUUAAGUAUUCCACCUGGGGAGUACGCCGGCAACGGUGAAACUCAAAGGAAUUGACGGGGGCCCGCACAAGCGGAGGAACAUGUGGUUUAAUUCGAUGAUACGCGAGGAACCUUACCCGGGCUUAAAUUGCAACCGAAUAUGGCGGAAACGCUAUAGCUAGCAAUAGCGGUUGUGAAGGUGCUGCAUGGUUGUCGUCAGCUCGUGCCGUGAGGUGUCGGCUUAAGUGCCAUAACGAGCGCAACCCUUGCCGAUAGUUACUAACAGGUUAUGCUGAGGACUCUGUCGGGACUGCCAUCGUAAGAUGUGAGGAAGGUGGGGAUGACGUCAAAUCAGCACGGCCCUUACGUCCGGGGCUACACACGUGUUACAAUGGGGGGUACAGAGGGCUGCUACCACGCAAGUGGAUGCCAAUCCCAAAAACCUCUCUCAGUUCGGAUUGAAGUCUGCAACCCGACUUCAUGAAGCUGGAUUCGCUAGUAAUCGCGCAUCAGCCACGGCGCGGUGAAUACGUUCCCGGGCCUUGUACACACCGCCCGUCAAGCCAUGGGAGCCGGGGGUACCUGAAGUGCGUAACCGCAAGGAGCGCCCUAGGGUAAAACUGGUGACUGGGGCUAAA